GACGAACGCUGGCGGCGUGCUUAACACAUGCAAGUCGAACGGAAAGGCCCUGCUUUUGUGGUGGGCUCGAGUGGCGAACGGGUGAGUAACACGUGAGUAACCUGCGCUUGUCUUUGGGAUAACUUCAGGAAACUGGGGCUAUUACCGGAUAGGAGCUCCUGCUGCGUGGUGGUGGUUGAAAAGAUUGGGCGGUUGGAGAUGGUCUCGGGUCUUAUCGCUUUGUUUGUGGGGUAUUGGCUGACGACGGCUCUGACGGGUAGUCGGCCUGAGCGGGUGACCGGCGCCAUUGGGCCUGCGAUACGGCCCAGAAUGCUACGGGAGGCAACAGUGGCAAAUAUUGCGCAAUGGGCGGAAGCCAGUUGCAGAAACGCCGGGUGCGGGAAGCCCGCCUUUGGGUUGUAAACCGCUUUCGGAUGUGACGUAGCGUGAGUGACGGUAAUGGGUAAAGAAGCACCGGCUAACUACGUG
rnacentral:rRNA from 1 species